GGUAAUUCUAGAGCUAAUACAUGCCGACAGAGUUCCGACCGUCGCGGCGCCCUCGGGUGUCGCGUGCGGGAGGAACGCUUUUAUUAGAUCAAAACCGGCCCGUCGCGGCGCGCUUCGUGCGCGUCCCGAUCGCGGCCCGCGCAAAGACCUGGUGACUCUGAAUAACUUCGAGCUGAUCGCACGGUCUCCGUACCGGCGACGCAUCUUUCAAAUGUCUGCCUUAUCAACUGUCGACGGUAGGUUCCAUGCCUACCGUGGUGGUAACGGGUAACGGGGAAUCAGGGUUCGAUUCCGGAGAGGGAGC
rnacentral:rRNA from 1 species